UACGUAGGGGGCAAGCGUUGUCCGGAUUUAUUGGGCGUAAAGAGCGUGUAGGCGGAUUGUUAAGUCAGAGGUGAAAUCCCGGAGCUCAACUUCGGAACUGCCUUUGAUACUGGCAAUCUAGAGUCCGGAAGAGGUUAGUGGAAUUCCCAGUGUAGAGGUGAAAUUCGUAGAUAUUGGGAAGAACACCAGUGGCGAAGGCGGUUCUCUGGGCAGGAACUGACGCUGAGGUGCGAAAGCGUGGGGAGCAAACAGG
rnacentral:rRNA from 1 species